rnacentral:rRNA from 1 species
GGGCGCUAGGCUGAUGCAGCUACGCCGCGUGAGGGACGACGGCCUUCGGGUUGUAAACCUCUUUUAGGUGGGAAGAAGCGGAAGUGACGGUACCUGCAGAAAAAGCACCGGUUAACUACGUGCCAGCAGCCGCGGUAAUACGGGGGGUGCAAGCGUUGUCCGGAAUUAUUGGGCGUAAAGAGCUCGUAGGCGGUCUGUCGCGUCUGCUGUGAAAACCCGAGGCUCAACCUCGGGCCUGCAGUGGGUACGGGCAGACUAGAGUGCGGUAGGGGAGAUUGGAAUUCCUGGUGUAGCGGUGGAAUGCGCAUAUAUCGAGAGGAACACCGAUGGGGAAGGCAGAUCUCUGGGCCGUAACUGACGCUGAGGAGCGAAAGCGUGGGGAGCGAACAGGAUUACAUACCCUGGUAGUCCACGCCGUAAACGUUGGGAACUAGAUGUGGGGUCCAUUCCACGGAUUCCGUGUCGCAACUAACGCAUUAAGUUCCCCGCCUGGGGAGUACGGCCGCAAGGCUAAAACUGAAACGAGUUG